rnacentral:rRNA from 1 species
GAUGAACGCUGGCGGCGUGCCUAAUACAUGCAAGUCGAGCGAACGGACGAGAAGCUUGCUUCUCUGACGUUAGCGGAGGACGGGAGAGUAACACGUGGAUAAGCUACCUAUAAGACUGGGAUAACUUCGGGAACGGGGAGCUAAUACAGGAGGAUAUUGUGAACCGCAGGGUGCACAACUGGAAGACGGUCUUGCUGUCACUUAUAGAUGGAUUAGCGCUGCAUUAGCUAGUUGGUAAGGUAACGGCUUACCAAGGCAACGAUGCAUAGCUGACCUGAGAGGGUGAUCAGCCACACUGGAACUGAGACACGGUCCAGACUCCUACGGGAGGCAGCAGUAGGGAAUCUUCCGCAAUGGGCGAAAGCCUGACGCAGCAAUGCCGCGUGUGUGAUGAAGGUCUUCGGGUCGUAAAACUCUGUUAUUAGGGAAGAACAUAUGUGUAAGUAACUGGGCGCAUCUUGACGGUACCUAAUCAGAAAGCCACGGCUAACUACGUG